CUUUCCCCCGACCCACGCCCGCGCCUCACCCAUUGUCGCUGUCGUUUCCUUUCUUUCCCAAACCGCCGUCACCACCGCGUCGAUUCCGCUCCUCCCCUCGCCUUCAAAACGGCCGAUCAAAGGAAGUUUCGAGUCCUUCCUCCUUCCGAUCCCUCUCCCUGACCCUCUGCCUCUCACGGCGACGGCAUCCUCUGCCCUAGGAUCUCCACCGCCGCCUUUUCUCUGCUCUAGCCGACGCCACCACCGCCGUCUCCCUCUGUUAACUCAUCGGCAGAGAGGAUCGAGCCUCCAAUCUCCUCAUUUAAAGUUGUCACCAGUCGUGCCCUCUCUGAAUCGUCACCUCGCACGAAUCGAUCUUCGAUCAAGGGGAAGAUCGAAGCCCUAGGUUUGCUGGAUUGGGCUGCAGUCGACUUUCCAAACGAGUGCCUUUUUAUCCCGUGCCUUGGAUCUCAACGGCAGUGAGACCUAGCCGCCGAAGAGGGAACCCUUGAAGGGUAAGUCUGCUGGUUCGAUUGGUUCUCCGACAGAGAGGAAGCUGUCGGCACUGAGUUGGGAUCUUAUCUUGUUCCGUUCUGUGAAGGAUUUCAAUAGGAAAGGUUGUUGUGUGGACUUUCUAUUCCGGCAGCAAAUUCAUCCAGCAGCAACAGUGCUAGGAAUUAAGGUUGAGGCUGUCCAGAGGAGUUCCAGUUGCUAGUCCCCCACCAUUGCGCAUCGCGACAAGUUCACACAGUUUGGGUUUUACUUAUUGUGUUAGACUUUGCUUUUCAGACUUAUAGCUUGACAUUUGGAUCUUGUAUGUUUUGUUAUCGAUGGAUUUAUAUUUGGAUGAUAUCGAUUUUGUGCUUUAUGAGUGUAGUUGAGUAGGAUAUCAGUUUUAUGCUUUA